AACCAACUGGGAUUACCUUAACGUAACGGCGAGUGAAGCGGUAAAAAGCUCAAAAUUUGAAAUCUGGUACUUUCAGUGCCCGAGUUGUAAUUUGUAGAAUUUGUCUUUGAUUAGGUCCUUGUCUAUGUUCCUUGGAACAGGACGUCAUAGAGGGUGAGAAUCCCGUUUGGCGAGGAUACCUUUUCUCUGUAAGACUUUUUCGAAGAGUCGAGUUGUUUGGGAAUGCAGCUCAAAGUGGGUGGUAAAUUCCAUCUAAAGCUAAAUAUUGGCGAGAGACCGAUAGCGAACAAGUACAGUGAUGGAAAGAUGAAAAGAACUUUGAAAAGAGAGUGAAAAAGUACGUGAAAUUGUUGAAAGGGAAGGGCAUUUGAUCAGACAUGGUGUUUUUUAAAUGUGCAAGUCUCUCGUGGACAUGUGCCUCUGGAAAUUAACACUGGGCCAACAUCAGUUCUGGCGGUCAGGAUAAAUCAUUAAGAAUGUAGCUACCUCGGUAGUGUUAUAGCUUUUUGGAAUACUGCCAGCUU
rnacentral:rRNA from 1 species